UUCAUGUAGUGCAUACCAAAAACAAUUAAUUUCUCACUUUCCUACAGAGAACUGGCGACUGGGUGUUUUCAUCUCCACAUCUCUAAGUCACUACAUCCCAGCCAAUCCCAGGAUAAACCUCAGCUAAUCAGAUCGCAGUCUCACAGGUUUUAAUCCUUGGAUAUCUCUUUAAGUUUAUAUCAUAACAGCAAAUGCUCCUUGACACCUACAGUGUAAUUUGCUGCCAUUGAUAGCUCCACUACCUCAGCCACUGCCACUUUAGUCAGAUAGGCUGCAGUGUCAGAGACCCACUGAAUUAUCUACCUGUGGCGUAAUCUUGGGUGCGUAAUACUGAGUUUUAUAUUAAUAAAAUGCUGAUAUCACCAUGAUGCACUCCUGAGACAGAUAUGCGAUGCUGAAAUGGGUGGAGUAAUGAUGAACCCCACCCUUUCCAUAUAUAUUUGUUAAUGACUGGUUUCCCUUAAUAACGCUCUUCUAAAGGACAGAUCUUUUCCUUCCCAGCAGCCAUACAUAAAACUCACAUAAGCAUAAAAGGAGAUGUUUCUUUUCCAAGCAUUGCUGUUGUGUCAUGUCAAAAAUUACAUCUCCAUCAAGCCAGGGGCAUGCAAAGAGAAAACCAACAUCAAGCUUAUGAAAGUGAAAUCAAAGUAGCGACUGUCUGAUCUGUGAAUAAGCCCUUGUGGACAAGACAUUACCAUCCCCGUACAUGCCACACUCUUAUCUAAACAGUAUCUCUUCAUCAAAAAGGAGCCAGAAAGUGAUGUAGACUUGUCAUGUACCCCCUUGGGUUCACAGCAUUGUAAUGCAGUUCUGCCAUCAUUAAAGAUUUCAGGAACUGAGGUGUACAGAGAAGAGCAGCACCAGAGCUGAAUGCAGAAGGGGAUAUCAAACACACAAGGUGAAGCUGCCAGACCUCACCUCUCACCAUCAUCAAUCAGAUUCCUAUUGCACACAAACAACAGAAGUAUCAAGGCCCAAAUUUACACACUGUAGGUUUUUAUCAUGAAAUUCCUGCUAACUGGCCUAGUAGUCCAUUUUACAGACUACUUCUGCUGUAAAUUCCUUUGCUGUUGCCACACAGCACAACAUUUUCUCUCAAGCCCUCCUAAAACUUCCUUUUCUUCUUGCUGUGCUAGCUUGCAUUUAAGUUAAUUGGAGAGAGAUCAUCAGCUGAGUGAAGUAAGGUCUGAACACAACUUUGUGUCAUAUCUCUUCUGUCUGUGAGAUAAAGCUGGGUGGAGCGCAGAGAGUAAGGAAAGCAGAGGGGAGCUGGUGUGGGGCGGGCAUGCAAGGCCCCGGAGGGAGACACGGGUAUGGACUGAGUGAGCAGGGGGCACCAGAGUAUAGUAACAGACCCUGGUGUUUAAGUUAUGUAUACAAUUCCUCCCUGCAGUGAAACAAAAGAGAUGGGGAGAGGAUGUAGAGAUCACCCAAAACAGAGGAGUGAAAAUUCAGUGUGACAUGGAAGGAACCUCACCCCAAGACUGGUGGUGUUCAUGGCACUGGUACAAAGGACUUCCCAGGAUACGGAUGGGACAGUCGUACCAGAGCUGUAUCCCUCAGAAAAAGCACCCAUUUUCUCCUUUACCCAUUUUCUCCUCCACUCACCUUCUCCUCAGCCCAACUUCUCCUUCCAUCUGUGUAUUAAAAAUUUUAGUCCGGCUCCUGAAAGCUGACCCACAAUAAUGUAUCCAGACCAAAUCUGUGGACCCCCGGGGAGCCCUACAGGGUUCAGGGCAGGCCCUGGAAUUGUUCUUUGAGGAGCAGCACUGACUUGGGGAGAGGUUCACAAAAGGUUUGGCACAUCUCUGCAGAUUAGAGGCAAAUGAGUGUCUUGAGCUAGAGUGAAGAGCUGUGGGCAGGAGAAAGCAAUCACCCCGUGCCAAGAAAAGCACUCAGAAAUACCAUGGCUCUACCCUGACUGGCCCUGAGUGAGCACACGGUCCCUAGGCCUGCCCAAAGACGUGGACCUGCCUCCAGGAAGCUGUGGUGGGAGCUGCGGGCUGAGGCAGCUGUGUUGGAAACAAGCACCUGAAGGUCAGGUGGGCCCGUGCCCCAUGGGGAUAGAUCCAGGGAGAGUGGGUGGAGGGCAUGGCCAGAGGAAGAUGGAGUGAUAAUAAAGGCACACGGCCUCUAUUAGACAGCUGUGGCAGUUUUGGUAACACUGCGUGGGGAUAGAGGGACCUCUGAGGGGACAGUGUGUGGUUGGCCCAGGAGGAUUCGUUCCCUCAUGGAGAGCACAGGUUGAUAUUCAGGUGCUGUGCCAAGCCUGAACUUGACUCAGCGCAGCACUGGGCACAGGACACGCACCCCAUGGAGAUCAGAAAGGACAUUGUCCUCGUCACACAGAGAGCACUGUGGCAGCUGGAGGGGAAGGCAGGAGGGCCAAGUCCUGAGCAUCACCGAAGCUGAUGGGAGCAUGAAGAAUGGACAAAUCCAACACACUGUUCAGCCUGAAAUCUUCAUCAGUUCUGGCAAGUGCGAGCAGAGUACAGCAUUUGUCACCCUUAAAAUCCAUUUGGAUCUACAGAUAAGACUAGAUAUAGGAGACAACAAGUGUACGUGCAUAGUUCCACAGAAAAUUCUCUGUCAUGUUGUUUAGGGCUGAAGUAAAUAAUUUCUCUGAAGAGAGGUUUAGGAAACAAUGGGGAGAAGGAGUGGCUUGUUUGGAAACAUGGUGACACAGCCGGACACGCUCAAUGUCAACAGAGAUUUCAAUGCACUUGCACAAGAAGAUAUUAUGGGAGAGGUCUGCGCUGUAAGUGGAUGAAAUACUUCUGUUUAUAUCAAUAAUAUAUCAUCAUUACCAUGCAAAUUGGCGUAUAUCAGGUUCUACUUUUUGGUGUUGGGACAGACAUUCUUUACAAAGUCAUCCUUUUGUUGUGAGAAACAAUAGGUCAUUUCUUUCAGCACCCUAGCAGUGAUUUGUCUACAAAUACUUGAAGUCUCAGCUCAAGCUCACAACUGGCAUAACAGCCCUAGAGAGGAUUGCUUCAUACAACAAGAAAAAGUAAGCUGUGACUAUUAAUUAGAUUUCUGUGUUGAAAGAUACCAUUUUUAAAUCUAUGUAUUUCAUGUAAGUUACUUAAGGUUCUUCCUGGCAGACUUUAUUAUGUGUAUACAUUGUAAUACAUGUAUAUAUAAAAGCAGGACUUUUUUUCCCCUAAAAAGUAUUUUCAAAAUAAUUGUCCUGUUCCUCCAUGACUCCUCACCAAGAAACUUGUCAUUUGGAAAAGGAUUCCUUUAAUGAAGUUAUUUUAAAUAAUACUGUUUCAAAUCAAGUUAAGAAAGCCUCAAGGGGAAAAUAUAGUCUAUUUCAAAUUCUUUCAAACUAAAAAUUUUAAGUGUCAAUAUCUGUGAUUUUGCUCUCUAUUGCCUCUUAAACUCAAGAAAUCAAUUCAGAAAUGCUUCUAACUGACCAUUUUCCCUCCACACUGCUGCCCUCCCAUGUCCCUCUUCCCUCCUGCUCUCCCCAGGCAAGAUUUUGUCAUGGACUUUUUCUGGGUUUGCUGUGCAGCUCAGGGUCAUGCCCCAGCUUUCGUCUCAGCUCCAUCCCUGCCACCACCACAGGGUGACCGCUACCUCUACUCUACUCACACUCUGCCCCAGAGCUACUUGUGCUUGCUCUUUCUGCCCUGCUCGAAGGUAAGAGUUCACAUCAGGGCUCAGUAACCUGCUGCUAACAAAAGUGGAAGCUCCUGCUCUCCUUCCUUCCUCCUCCACCCACCUGUGGCAGGCAGCAGGGCACAGGACUCCUUGACUUUUGGGGUGUGCAGAGGGAAGGUAAGGUAAGGAAAACAAGAAGUCGGUUCAUGGGCAGUAACCUAUUCCUCUACUUACCUAAUACACAUCCACCACACUCUGCUCUUUUUUCCUAUGAGAAGCCCAAUGGACGUUUGUACCGUCUUGUAUUAUUGAAGCAUCAUGUUCAUCUUUGCAGAACCUGAUCUUGCUUCAGUUCAAGUCUGUAUUAGAAGUAUCCUUAAAAGAAAUACAGUCAGCUUCUUGCACAUGCUUCCCAUUUGCAUUUCUAAAUCUGCAGAUAGAACUGUUUUUGCUCUAGAGUCCAUUCUGUAUGCAAGCAAUCCCAAACUUUAUAGGAAAUUAGAUCCCUUAUGUGGAUAUUAAGAUUGUGUCUAAAUAUCCCUAUCAUUGCUAUGACUGACUGUGGAUCCCAUCUGCUCUUCACAGCAGCUGAAGGGAAGCUCACAAAACCUGGACAGAAAGACAGAUCAUGCUGUUCAUAAGUCUAGUUUGUUCUGGUUACAAAUCUAGAUGCUAAGUGUAUGUUGGAGGGUUGCUUUGGUUUUCACUGUUUUUUUUCUUAAGGGACAUGACUUGUUGCAGGGAAGGUCUCCAAAAAAAAAAAAAAAAAGAACCAAGCAGAGAUAGUCUCACAUGCCCAUGCUUGCAGAGCUCUCCAAACAAUGACUCAACAAUGAGACCUCUCUUGGCCAUCUUGCAACAACCUCGGCAUGGCAGAGUGACAGUGAAGACAGUUCAGUGUCAACAGUAGUACUUCAAUGGCUGAUCCUUCCAGUAGUUUAAGCAAAGGCUGUGGCUUCUUCUUGUUAGCAGGGAUUCUUCUACAGAGACAAAACAAAGACCGGACCUUAGAGCUAGUCAUUCCUGUGAAGAGGCUACACAUAAAUGUACUGCCCACAAGGCCAUAGAGGAAUCUCAGCACUGAGACCCCUCAAACUGCAAUUGAGGGAGCACAGCGGUCACAAAUGCUACCUUGUCUUCCCAAAGAGCUUGUGCCAGGACAGAGGAAGAAUGAGCACACGCCAUGGAGGUAAAUGAUAUGUGGUGGUAGGUGAUGCGAUGUGCGGAAGUAGUUGAUGUCCAGAGGUAGCUGAUGUGCAGAAAUAGGUGGUGCACCAGCCUCCUCUAGCAGCACAGUCGGCUGUGAGCAGCACAGUCGGCUGUGGUGGAGCAGCCCUGCUUCCCAGCAGCAAGUGCUGCUGAGUUUUCUGCUCCAAUGCAACACUUGCAGGGGACUUUGAAAACAUCCAGAAAUGUGAUAAAUGACUUAUCUUUCCCUAAUGCUGUUGGCUCCCCUCCCAUCUUGCAAUAACCCAAGGGCACAAUUAAGGCCUUUCUGGAUAACAGGAACGCUCCCUAAAGUGCUAAUAAUGCUGGAAUGAUUGCUGGAGAAUUUAGAAACCUAAAGCUUAUCUUCUGUGCCAUACAAAAAGGGAUCUACUUCUGCAGACAUCCUAAUCUACAGGAUUCUAUUUGAAUUUCAGCUAAUUCACGGGCUCACACUGGGAAUAAGAAAAGGCUGAUUAGAAGUUGGGUGAAUCAAUAAGUACUGAAUGGCCUAGAGAAGUGGGAACAUUCAUUCACUCUAAUAAAACUGGGAAAGCUGUGGGUGGAUGACUAAAAGGAACAAAGGGCUGCUUAACAGCAUUGAGCUAGGGUAAAAAGGCCAGGAAGAAAAGUGCUUAUAAAACUUUAUGACUAAGAGCAGAAUGAAAUGAGAAAUGCACAGGAAGAAGUGUCGGAUCAGUAAAUGUGCCACUCAAAACCUAUGAUGAGUCAUGCUGAUUCCUGCCUUUUAGGCUGGGGGUCCACCUUGCUGAAAGGGAUAAGCUCCUCUCUUUGGUGCCCCCCCUUUGAAAGUCUGAUUUCUUUUAGUGAAUUGAUGUGAUUGCUCAGGGGAGGGCCAACUUCAUAUUGCAAAGCAAGAUAAACGCAAAGGCGCCAGAGCCACUGGUUGCUCCAGAGCAACAUUAAGAACUUCAACACUUGGAAAAGUGAAGAGAUUGCCUGAAGGAGGCUACAGGGUAACAGAUGUGCCCUGAAGGACUCGAAACAAGUAGAGGGAGCAACAGCUCCAGCCUUCAGCACAGGAGACCAGGCGAUCAACCCAACCGGAAACAGCAACCCCGGGCCAAAGUUGCAGCGCUUUGUCAGGGCCUGUAUUUCUUCUGCUUGUGCUUUAUUUGCCCCGUGGCUAUGCGGAGAGCUUUCUUCUCUGAAGUCAAUUUGCAAGUCUCAUGAGGCUUUAGCUUGCAUAAUAAACUGUUUUCUGCUAAUAUAUAUUUUGA